GCCGAUUUGAUCUAAUCCACAUAAUCCAUCCCUUAUAGACGAAAUUAAAUUUUCAAAGGGGAUAUUAAAAAAAAAUAUCAAAAAAUGGAAAAAUUUAAUAUCAACAAUUUUUUUUUUAACAAUACUCCAUAAACAUAAUAAUUGUAUUAAAUUUAAUUUUUUAAUACAAUAAACAUUUUUAACAAAUUUAAAAAUAUAAACUUUUCUUAUUCUCUAUGUGUUAUCCAUCACAUCAAUUUCAACACUUUUUUUUUUUCCGUCAAUUUCAACACUUUUAAGAAUUAAAAAGUCUCAUUUUCUUUUUAUUCCUUUUUUUUUAAAAUUCCUUUAUUUUUCGGAUAAUUAAAUGAUUCUCUAAGCUUCAUAGCAAUGAAACACUUUGAAUUCGCAUUUCGGCGAUAUAGUCUCUAAUAACAACCUCGCCGUGUGCUCUUGCCUCACCACCGCAUCUUCUUUCUCCACCAGAACCGCUCCGACGAUCCUCUCGUAUCCUCCUCCACCACCAUUAGCCACAUAAUCAACCAACGCCGCCUGUACUGGUCCCAUACUAGGAUUAUACGCCGCCGAUUCCAUAUACCAACCUCUGUACACUUUCCCGUCACAAUCCACCAGCGAAACUCCCGAUGGACAUAAACUAUACGGCGCGUACGAUCUAUUCGCCGCCGCUAAAGCCGUUUGUUUCAAAUCGGCGGAUGAAUCGGUGUUUCCGUUACAAAUCGAAUCCAGAUCUGAGAUUUUGAGAUGGUUAUCGUGAGAUUCGAGAAGAAGAGGAUGAUCUUUCCCGAGAAGAUCGUCGGGACCGAAUCUGUGUGGCAAGAAGCUUCCGAGACGUAAGAAUCCGUCUGAAUCGGCGGCGGAAUCGGAAUCGGCGGAGUUGUUUGGAUCGGUGAUAAGGAUUUUGAUUUCAGGUGCGUCGCGAAUUUCUUGGAGGAAUUGACGGCAAUGGCCACAUGGUGCGGCGGAGACGGCGAAGAAAUUGAGAUGACGUUCACCGUUGAGUGUGAGAUUGGUGACGAGGAACUGUUCGGCGUGGAUUGAGUGGUGGAGAGGGAGAUUUGGGAAUUCGACAUUGACGCCUAAGAAGAUCCGACCUGAUGAUCCGAGUCCGACGACUGCGACGUUGAAUUUCGAAAUCGGAGUUCGAGCGUAGGAUUGUGCUGGUUUGACUAGCGACGGGAGGAGCUGAAUGACGGAAACGCCGAGUUGUUUCGCGGCGGAUUCUGCUUCUUUGGAUUGGAUUACGAAGCUUGGCUUAUCCAUUGCGGGUUGAUCCGGUUUGGGUCGCGUAAAUGGGUCGGGUUAUUUUUAGAUGGGAGAGAUCCGGGAAAUGAGGAAUUAUGAAAUGGAUGCUGGACAAACAAACUAUUUAUAGAUACAACAACGUAGGAAACUACAUUACGCAAAUGAAGUUUUGGUUCGGUUUCGGUUAUGUUUCGGUUUACGUUUGGUACAAAAUAGAAAAAUUAUAUCAGAAUUGAAUUUACAAAUAAUAUGAUUUCGGUUUGACUAAGCCGCAUGGAAUCAUUGUUAUGAAAACUACCAAAAAUGCAAUAGAGUAUUAGUGUAACGUAA
rnacentral:lncRNA from 1 species